rnacentral:rRNA from 1 species
AACCAAGAAGAUUAAGUCAUGCAUUUUUGGUGAAAAGACAGUUAAGCAGCAUAAAGAGUUUGUUUAAUUAUUAUUGAGAAGUAAAAUUCGCAAAUAAUCUAGAGAUUUAAUCAAAACUAAAAAGCUGAAGCUGUGACAUCCUCGAGGGAAACUGGGAUUAGAUACCCCAUUAUUCUUGGAUAUAAAAAAAUAUGAAUUUACCAGAGUACUAUGGAUUGAUGACAUUUAAAACUCAAAGAGCUUGGCGGUGUUUUAGACUCUUUAGGGGAACCUGUCUCAUAAUCGACAAUCCACGUAAGACCUGACCUUUAUUUGCUUUCAGUUUGUAUACCGUCGUCGUCAGGUAACUUUUUAGAAGAAAGAAGUUAGCGAUUGAGCUUCCAAUAAGCUCUUACGUCAGAUCAAGGUGCAGCCAACAUAAAGGGGAGGAUGGGUUACAAUUAUAAGAAUCAUAAUUACGGAAUGACCGUUUUGAACAGCAGUCAUGAAGGAGGACUUAAAAGUAAAAUAAAAUAUAUAAAUAUAUUGAAUUGAGCUCUGAAACGUGC